AUAACAUCUCUUAAAUUGUGUAUACUUUUUUUUUGUUUGGCCCCCUGGUAUAUCUCUAUGUAUCCAUUGGUCCUGUUUCUCUGGAGAACUCUGACUAAUCUACCUACUCAGAAACUAGACUCCUGGCCAGGAUACCUUGAAAGUAGAUCCUGCACUCUAAUAUUCUCAUAUAUUCCUCAUGAAGGAUUUUCAUGGUCAACAAGAGUAAAGGGCAAGAGAUCGUAUCUUGAAUUCACAGUCCUGAUUCUUCUUUAGCUUAGAUUGAGAAUUUCUGUCAAAACACUUUAACCUAACCUUUGCUCUCCUUUGCACAGGACAGAGAUUUAUUUGCUCAACACCACCUGUGGUGUGAUAGGUUAGCAAGCUAUUUCAUAACAGAGGUUAAGGACUGAAAAUGAGAGGCUAUUCCAAUACAUGGACCAAAAAUGAGAAGUUAUUCUGAGACAUGAAUGAAAGGAAGCAGAGUCCAGUUUCUGAGUGGGCAACAUACCUUUAUUUCACUUGGAUGUGAAGGGGCUGAGUUCAAAAAAGAGGCAGUGGAGGAAGGUCUGCAUAAGGGAAGGUCAUCUACAUACUGAAGAACUGUAGAAUUUUUUUGUAAAGUUAACUGCCGGAGGUCAGCCUGAAGUGCCUGACCAAAGUAAUGAGAACUGUCUAAAUCCUUCAAGGAGAACUGCCCAGGAAGGAUGGGAGUGUUGUAGGGCAUAUUAGUAAGUUUGAGAAUACCAGCUGACAGGAGUUUGAAGACUUAGGUGAUAAAAAGAAGUUUGAUAUUUGAGAAAACAAAGAUUCUUCAACUGGCACUAUGUGAUUGUAUGCAAAUGUUGUUGCCUCUGAGCCAUUACAUUAUUGCUCCUACAACAAGGAAGUAAGUAAUUUUUUUAGAUGUUUGCCAAGAUCUAUUCCAACUCAUUUAUUUUUAUGCUUGCUUCUUUCUGUGAAAGGUAAAAAGCUAGGCAGAUGCCAAGACAUGUUUUUCAGGCAAAGGGAUUUCUCUGAAGAUCAGAUGGGUGGAUCAGAUCAGUGGAGAGAAAAUAAUAUUAUAAUUGUUAUGUACACACAUAGACACAUAUAAUUGUUUUAAAAUUUGCUCUUCUCCAGCACCGGAAAGGUCCUGAGGUAGUAUAUGAAAUUGGACAGCUAAAAACUAUAUUUCUUUGAAAUAAAUGAAUUCU